rnacentral:rRNA from 1 species
UGGGGAAUUUUGGACAAUGGGCGAAAGCCUGAUCCAGCCAUGCCGCGUGCAGGAUGAAGGCCUUCGGGUUGUAAACUGCUUUUGUACGGAACGAAAAGACUCUGGUUAAUACCUGGGGUCCAUGACGGUACCGUAAGAAUAAGCACCGGCUAACUACGUGCCAGCAGCCGCGGUAAUACGUAGGGUGCAAGCGUUAAUCGGAAUUACUGGGCGUAAAGCGUGCGCAGGCGGUUAUAUAAAGACAGAUGUGAAAUCCCCGGGCUCAACCUGGGAACUGCAUUUGUGACUGUAUAGCUAGAGUACGGCAGAGGGGGAUGGAAUUCCGCGUGUAGCAGUGAAAUGCGUAGAUAUGCGGAGGAACACCGAUGGCGAAGGCAAUCCCCUGGGCCUGUACUGACGCUCAUGCACGAAAAGCGUGGGGGAGCAAAACAGGAUUAGAUACACUGGUAGUCCACGCCCUAAACGAUGUCAACUGGUUGUUGGGUCUUCACUGACUCAGUAACGAAGCUAACGCGUGAAGUUGACCGCCUGGGGAGUACGGCCGCAAGGUUGAAACUCAAAUGAAUUGCGGGGUCAUAGCUGUUUCC